AUUUUUCAAGGUUUUGAUAUCUGGGUUUUGGUCUAGUGCUUUGGAGAGAAGUUCCAAAGCAAGAAUUGGGUUUUUUGAUUUGUGGAAUGAAGAAACCAAUGCUUGUAAUUCGGAAAUGUUGCGAGGCAUUUUAUAGAAUGACAUAGAACGGAGAGGAGGAGUGUAUGGUUCAUACGGCCACCGACAAGCUCUCGCAUGCGUAGGCGUUGUUAGCUGAAACUGUUGUUGGUAGUCUCAAUUUGAUCACUUAUCCUUUAUAUAUUAAAACAAAAUACUCAAAACUGCACCAUAAUCCCGCCUAAUUAUCUUCCACUUCUUUCUUCUGAUAAAAAAAAAUAAAAAAAUUGCAUGCUUAAUUUUCACUAAUCCACCAGCCGCCCAAAGUAAUAAUACACUACUUCCAAUACCUCUGUCCUUUCGGUUUUCUUUUUUCCUUUUUUCCUUUUUUUCCAAAUUCCAUAAAAAUCUUUCUUCUUAAUUACUCCUACACACAUUAUACCUAUUCGAUAUUCU
rnacentral:lncRNA from 1 species